GUAACUGAUGUCACGACAGAUUCACAAACACUUGGUUUCUCCUGAGGGGCGUUUCUAUAGAACUGAAGACUUCAGACAGCACUGUAUCCCAGCAUGCAUCUCUGCUCACUCAGACCACACCCCCAUGAGUAGGAUGCAACACUCUAGUGAUGGAGAUGUAGUGUUUUAUAAGUAACGAGGGAGCAGACUAAGGGGAUUAGAACACAAUAGAAUGUAAAGUUUGUAAAUCUUUAAACCAUUAAGAUGGUUGGAAAAGUCAGGAAUUGGGCUUAUUUUUAAUAUGGGCAGUCCUUUCACUCGGAUGCUCACUUCUCACUGGAAAUGUACAUGCGUUGGCUGGCUGGCAUGAUUUGCUGUUGGUGAUGAGGUGGUCAGGGUGACGUUGCAGGGCUAUGGUCGGCUCUCUGUGAGCUCAACGUUUAGAUUUUCUCUGUAUGGUUUGUACCCUGAAUAAUCUAGAUAAUUGUAAAAUGUAGACACGGGUUUUGCAUUGAAUGAUUCCAGGUUUUUAGGUUUAAAGUUGUUGUACAUGGUAGUUUGGUUCUUCGUAUGGUUUUGAGUGAUUAUAACUUGUACACACUGGGUGCAUAAUAAUGUAAAGUUACACUGAAUAGUAUUAAUGACCAACAGCAACAAACGGAUCUCCUCAAGGUAAGUCUGUUGGCUGUAUUUUAAUGAAGACCAUCGCUGGACUUCAGGAUCUUCCUCCGUUCAGCUCAAGGUGAGGCGCUGGUUAUUUUUCUUUGGUUGGUUCCGGCCGGAAUGUUCGGAUUCCAGUCGGACGGUUUGUGCUUCCCGCCGUGGAAGGUUCUGAGUGCGGUCACUUGAUUUAGUCCCAAUGGUUAGCAUAGAAAGUUGUAGUCUUGAUAUUAAAUACAUACUGACACGAACGUCGUACAAUAUGUUAAUUUUCGAUGGUUGGGCCGUACUUUUAACCACGUUGACGGGACUCUCGCUGCGUACAAAACGGCGUUCUACUUGCGGCCCAAUUUUUGACAUCGGUGAAGGCUGAAAAUCAUUUGAAGGUGGAAGACAAUUUGACAUUUCUUCAAAGGAACCCAGCACCUGAAUAUGAGUUGAGUAAAUUUGAUUUAAUAUUGAUACUGUUUAGUGUUCUUUUUUACUUCACCUUUUGUACGUUCUAAAUAUAUGCUGUCAUUAAUUGCCACAGAAGUUAAACCCUACCCAAUAGAGUUACCAACUGGAUAAUAUCAAAGCUAAAAUAAUGGCCGUCAUUUCCACAUGUUACAGUAGAAGAUACUCUAGAACUGUAGAAGGUUAAAAAGGUAACAUGUAGUUUGUCCCAUGGUGUCUGCCUCCUCACCCAGAGCAAGACCUCCACCUCCUUACCCAGAGCCAGACCUCCACCUCCUGUCAGAAGUCCUCCAGAACAGCUCAAAGGUGAGGCUGAGAGGCUUGGGACCGGAGGCUUGUGGUGCCAGGAUGGACCGGAGACUGAUGCUGGAGACCAGGGGCCUGCAGCACCGGACCAGAGGACCAGGAAUCCAUGGCUGAAGGAGCUGAUGGAGGAGCCGCGCUGAAGGCCCUGCCUGGUGGAGGAGCUGAUGGAGGCCCUGCCUGGUGGAGGAGCUGAUGGAGGCCCUGCCUUGUGGAGGAGCCGUGCUGAAGGCCCUGCCUGGUGGAGGAGCUGACGGAGGCCCUGCCUGGUGGAGGAUGUCUGUCGUGGGGACUCUGGUUUGGAGGAGAGCUGAUCGAGAACUGAUGGAGGAGCUGAGUCGCUGGAGGACGACUAGGAAUCGACCAACAAGGAUUCCUCAACGUGUUUCUGGAGCGGAGGCGAACUGAUAGGGGAGCCGUGAAUCUGGAGGAUGACGUCACUCUACCAACAAGGAUUACCAGGACUCUGGCUGAGGAGAGCUGAUGGAUGAGCCAUAAAACCAGGAAUCUGGAGGACUGACGGAGAAGCCGUACAUCUGGAAGGCAAAUCCUGAGGACGAUCAGGACUCUACCAUCAAGGAUUCCUCACACACCUGAGCUGAACCUCACCUGAUCCCCUUUGGUCGGGGGCAGACGCACCUGAGCUGAACCCCACCCGAUCCGGACAUCCUGCUGGUCCCGUCUCCUCAGUUCAUCUGAGCCUCUUCCUCCAGAAGACAUGCUGAGCUCAGCGGUCUGAGGCUAAUGUAUCAAUGACCUCCAGUGGGAGUGAUCUUCUUGACCCCACAUGUAGCCGUGUGCUUCCACACGCCUUUCCCUCACGUCUGUCACUAACCUCAUUACUUCACUACUCUCUACUCCUUCCCCUUCUUCUUCCUUCUCCGUGGUUCGAACCUUUACUCUGAAGGAGUGUCUCUUUGAACCUUUGCACUGAAGGAGCGUCUUCCUGUCCUCAGAGGGUUUAGCGUUAGGGUUGAGAGUCAGGGUUUAGAGUCAGGGACAGAGCUGGUCAGGGAGGGCUGGUUUUACAUAAACCUUUUCACUUGCUUUCUGAAUGGUGGUGACAUUUUGAAAAGAUUAAUUUGGGAAAAUGUUUUCCACUGCUUUCCUUUACAAAAAUAUGUAUUUAACUUCUGUGUUUGUUCCAGACCAGGACUCUGUCUGAGGAGAUCAGAUGGAGGAGCUGAGACGCUGGAGGACAACUAGGAAUCGACCAACAAGGAUUCCUCACACUCCUGAGCUGAACCUCACCUGAUCCGGACAUCCUGCUGGUCCCGUCUCCUCAGUUCAUCUGAGCCUCUUCCUCCAGAAGACAUGCUGAGCUCAGCGGUCUGAGGCUGAUGUAUCAAUGACCUCCAGUGGGAGUGAUCUUCUUGACCCCACAUGUAGCCGUGUGCUUCCACAAGCCUUUCCCUCACGUCUGUCACUAACCUCAUUACUUCACUACUCUCUACUCCUUCCCCUUCCUUCUCCGUGGUUCGAACCUUUACUCUGAAGGAGUGUCUCCUUGAACCUUUGCACUGAAGGAGCGUCUUCCUGUCCUCAGAGGGUUCAGCGUUAGGGUUCAGCGUUAGGGUUGAGAGUCAGGGUUUAGAGUCAGGGACAGAGCUGGUCAGGGAGGGCUGGUUUUACAUAAACCUUUUCACUUGCUUUCUGAAUGGUGGUGACAUUUUGAAAAGAUUAAUUUGGGAAAAUGUUUUCCUCUUCUUUCCUUUACAAAAAUAUGUAUUAAACUUCUGUGUUUGUAACCAAACCAGGUAUCCAUGGCUGGUGGAGCCGUGCUGAAAGAGCUGAUGGAGGAGCCGGGCUGAAGGCCCUGCCCGGUGGAUGAGCCGUGCUGGAGGCCCUGCCUGGUGGAGGAGCCGUGCUGGAGGCCCUGCCUGGUGGAGGAGCUGAUGGAGGCCCUGCCUGGUGGAGGAGCCGUGCUGACGGCCCUGCCUGGUGGAGGAUGUCUGUCGUGGGGUAGAUGGAGCCUGACUCUGUGACCAUCACACUCACUGCCACUUCUCGUAGAAUACUGCUACCACAAACAACCGGCGUUUGUACCAAUAUACCAGAUGACUACAUCCGUUUUACCACACAUUGAAGCAAGACUUCUGAUG